UACGGGAGGCAGCAGUGGGGAAUAUUGCACAAUGGGCGAAAGCCUGAUGCAGCUAUGCCGCGUGUAUGAAGAAGGCCUUAGGGUUGUAAAGUACUUUCAUCGGGGAGGAAAAACAAAACUAAUAAUUUUAUUUCUUGACGUUACCCGAAAAAGAAGCACCGGCUAACUCCGUGCCAGCAGCCGCGGUAAUACGGAGGGUGCUAGCGUUAAUCAGAAUUACUGGGCGUAAAGAGCACGUAGGUGGUUUUUUUAAGUCAGAUGUGAAAUCCCUGGGCUUAACCUGGAACUGCAUUUUGAAACUGAAAUACUAGAGUAUCGUAGAGGGAGGUAGAAUUCUAGGUGUAGCGGUGAAAUGCGUAGAUAUCUGGAGGAAUACCUGUGGCGAAAGCGGCCUCCUAAACGAAUACUGACACUGAGGUGCGAAAAGCGUGGGGAGCAAACAGGGAUUAGAUACC
rnacentral:rRNA from 1 species